UAUGUGAUCGUCUCUCGCAUAUCAAUAAGCGGAGGAAAAGAAACUAACAAGGAUUCCCCUAGUAACGGCGAGUGAAGCGGGAAGAGCUCAAAUUUGAAAUCUUAAAGGGUUUCCCUUUACGAAUUGUAGUUUAAAGAAGUGUUUUCUGUUGAGGUUUUGGUAAAAGUUCUUUGGAAUAGGACAUCAUAGAGGGUGAGAAUCCCGUAUUUGACCUUUACUUUCAACUUUGUGAUACACUUUCAAAGAGUCGGAUUGUUUGGGAAUGCAGUCCAAAAUGGGUGGUAAAUUUCAUCUAAAGCUAAAUAUUGGCGAGAGACCGAUAGCGAACAAGUACCGUGAGGGAAAGAUGAAAAGAACUUUGAAAAGAGAGUUAAACAGUACGUGAAAUUGUCAAAAGGGAAGCGUUUGACACCAGUGUUGUUUUUCUGAAAAUCAAUUAAAGAACUGUUUAUGCUAAGUUGUUUAGACUUUAUCAGCUAACUGUUUAGUUUUGAGCUUUUCUUUAAUGCACUUUUCAGUUAACAAGUCAACAUCAAUUUCUUUUGCUGUAAAAAAGCUUGAGGAAGGUGGCUUGAGAUUCGUCUUAAGUGUUUAUAGCCUCUUGCCUAUGCAGUCGGAGAGAUUGAGGUCUGCAGCGUAGAUCCUUCGGGGCUAAAUGCAUUUGUGCUAAGUUAUAGCAUUUUAUAGACAACUUGUUGACUAUGAUUUGUCUUGUAGCUUACUCGCUUAUGUUAUUUUACCUACGCUUAGGAUGUUGAUAUCGCCUCUCACUG
rnacentral:rRNA from 1 species